rnacentral:rRNA from 1 species
UAUUGCUCUUUAACGAGGAAUCCCUAGUAAGCACAAGUUAUCAGCUUGUGCUGAUUACGUCUCUGCCCUUUGUACACACCGCCCGUCGCUACUACCGAUUGAAUGGCUUAGUGAGGCCCUCGAAUUGACGUUCGGAAACUGGCAACAGUUUUCGUUUGUUGAGAAGUUGGUCAAACUUGGUCAUUUAGAGGAAGUAAAAGUCGUAACAAGGUUUCCGUAGGUGAACCUGCGGAAGGAUCAUUAAUAUUUGAGUCGGGGUUGUUCUUGUGGUCUUUGGUUCGGUUCGGUUCUUUUUUGUGUCUUUUAGUUAAAAGCCUGGGAAUAACUCUGACACAAAUAUAUGAACACUUUUUAUUCUCUCUAUAUUCUUUUUAACUAAAGAUAUAAGGAGCAAGAUGAUAUAUUUAAAAUCCAACUCUUUAAAUGUUUUUAUAACUAUUGUGUAUUUUAAAUAAAAAAAGAUCACUUUCAACAACGGAUCUCUUGGCUCCCGCAUCGAUGAAGAACGUAGCGAAGUGCGAUAUGUAAUGUGAAUUGCAGAAUUCCGUGAAUCAUCGAAUUUUUGAACGCAAAUUACACUUUCCGGUAUUCCGGGGAGUAUGCCUGUUUGAGGGUCAGUAAAAUAAAAAUCGAUGUUGUUGUCACCUUCGUGGUAACGCGUCAGAAUUGAGUCAUCUUACCUUCGGUUAAGUGACUUAAAAUUUUUACGCGAAUUCGAAACGUAUUUAACGUUUAUGGUACGUUUGCGAUAUUCCAAUAAUAUUAGAUGCGGUCAUUCUUAUGAUUCAUGCCUAUAAUUUUUCAUUUCUUGACCUCAAAUCAGGUAAGAGUACCCGCUGAACUUAAGCAUAUCAAUAAGCGGAGGAAAAGAAAAUAACAAUGAUUCCCCUAGUAACGGCGAGUGAAGAGGGAUUAGCUCAAAUUUAAAAUCUGCUAAGUUUACCUAUCAGAGUUGUAAUUUGAAGAGGCGUUUUCCGCGUCAUUGUUGGUCCAAAUCCUUUGGGAUAAGGUAUCAUGGAGGGUGAGAAUCCCGUCCGGCCGACAUCAUGAUGUUUUACGAUACGCUUUCAAAGAGUCGAGUUGUUUGGGAUUGCAGCUCAAAAUGGGAGGUAAAUUUCUCCUAAGGCUAAAUAUUGGCGAGAGACCGAUAGCGAACAAGUACCGUGAGGGAAAGAUGAAAGGAACUUUGAAAAGAGAGUUAAAAAGUACGUGAAAUUGUUGAAAGGGAAACGAUUGAAGUCAGUCGUACCGACGAGAAAUCAGCUUUUUGAAUGUGCAUUUGUGGGCGUAUGAGAUCUUCAUUGUUUGCAAUAUGUAUGUUUCUUUGGUGUAUUUUUUCGUAUGGUAGGUCAAUGUCGGUUUUGAUCGCCAUAAAAUGAUCGGAGGAAUGUAGCUUCGGCCUCGGUUGAAGUGUUAUAGCCUUUGGUAAAUGUGGUGAUUAAGACCGAGGAUUGCAACGAAUACCUUUUAGGCUAUCCGUCUGACCUCUGAAAGUUACUUAGGUGCCGAAAGCUUGCUUACGGUCAUUUAAGCUGACGGUCAAUAGGUUAGAACGUGAUUACAUUCAUUAAGGAUGUUGACGUAAUGGCUUUAAACGACCCGUCUUGAAAUACGGACCAAGGAGUCUAACAUAUAUGCGAGUGUUA